AUGCUUCCCGAUCGUGUUUCUGAAAUGGCCAAACUUAAUCUUUGUUUGAAAGAUAUAACCGUCAGACUUUUGAAUAUUGAACCUCCAGUUCAGUUUACUAAUGGUACUAGACGUGAAAGGACACAUAAUGGUUUUCGAUAUGCGUUAAGGCGAUGGUCGAAGUUCAUGAAAACUGCUGGAAUUAAGGAUGUUGUCGAUGAUGUACGUGACAUGUUUUUAGCUAUUAAGCAAGAGAGAUAGACACAAAGGAUGUGUCAAAUACGGUUUAGAUGAUACAUGUUCAAGGUAAUAAGAAGAAACUCUCUGUUGAAUUAGCAACCAAUUUUAGUGUUUUGCUCAAAAGAUGGAUGUGUCGGUGAUGUUGUCGAGGAGUGUCAGGAAAUGCUUAUUGAUAGCAUUUUGUUAUACUCCUCGACAAUGUCACCGACCCCUCUAAAAAAUUCCAUCAAAACUCUCACACUGGUUGCUUCUACAACAGAGGGUUUUUUUUUGUUACCUGAACCUGUAUCAUCUCAACUUUUUUGACUGGCCAUGUAUUGUUGUUACAUCAAGAUUCAAUUAAGAUUAUUUUCUUUAUUAAAGUUGAUCUGAUUCACUGUUCAUCACCACAGAUCUUCUUAUUUUUAUGUCAUUCGAUAAUUUAUCAACGCUGAAAACCUUUAUUACAAUCAUUGAUCAAAUAUACACGAUAUUGAUAGCCAACACAACGUCUGACAUUAGGAUUGAAACGGCUAACGCCUUUACUUAUCCCUACCGAUGUUGUAAAUGAAUUUUUUGAAGAACCAAAUGGUCGUUUUCAUCGUUAUUUCAGUAUGUCUUGAAGAUAUUAGAUGGAACAGGCUGCUAUCACGCUUCUAAAGAAUGUUGAUCUUAAUGUUGAUGAUUACACUAUAAGAAUCCGUAUUAUUCGUCUAUGGACAAGACCUUCUUUCAACAAUCCUAGGAAGGUUUAUUGCUACGACAUGAUAUUCAUGGACUAGGAG